rnacentral:rRNA from 1 species
CCCUUAGAUGUCCUGGGCCGCACGUGCGCUACACUGACAGAGCCAACGAGUUUAUCACCUUGACCGAUAGGCCUGGGUAAUCUUGUUAAACUCUGUCGUGCUGGGGAUAGAGCAUUGCAAUUAUUGCUCUUCAACGAGGAAUGCCUAGUAAGCGCGUGUCAUCAGCAUGCGUUGAUUACGUCCCUGCCCUUUGUACACACCGCCCGUCGCUACUACCGAUUGAAUGGCUUAGUGAGGCCUUCGGACUGGCUCAGGGAGGUCGGCAACGACCACCCAGAGCCGGAAAGUUCGUCAAACUACGUCAUUUAGAGGAAGUAAAAGUCGUAACA